rnacentral:rRNA from 1 species
UACGUGGGGCGCGAGCGUUGUCCGGAAUUAUUGGGCGUAAAGAGCUCGUAGGCGCCUGUCGCGUCCGCUGUGAAAACUCGGGGCUCAACCCCGAGCCUGCAGUCGAUACGGGCAGACUAGAGUGCCGUAGGGGAGACUGGAAUUCCUGGUGUAGCGGUGAAAUGCGCAGAUAUCAGGAGGAACACCGGUGGCGAAGGCGGGUCUCUGGGCAGUAACUGACGCUGAGGAGCGAAAGCGUGGGGAGCGAACAGG